AAAGAGUGUGUGAUACAGAAAGAAGCUUCUAACUUUUUUCUAAGUAGUUAAAGCCUACUUACUCUUUU
rnacentral:tRNA from 1 species